UGGAUAUCCUUAUUUUUUUUUUUUUUUAAUUUCCUUUCUUGUUUUAAUUUUGGUUUGGUUGCUGAAAUGAAAUAGUUUUCUAACCCCUCCCCCACCCUGGUUUUUCAUAAUCACUCGGAUUUCCAGCUGGAUAGUCUUUGAGGAUACAGGUGGAUGCUGUGGGGGGGUCCAGGCAGCUCUGUGGAACGGUCUCCAAUGGGCUAGUAGGAUGAGAAGGUCCAGGGGUAGUUUGGGAAACAAGGAGAAACAUCACCUCCCGAGACGGUAAACCUACUGAAAAGGUUUAAGAUUAACUUGUGAAGACUGAUCUUUUGGAUACAUCAGGUAUGCCAUACUACAUCUGAUACUAGGCAAGGAAGUAUGGGGGGAAGAGUACCUGAAAGGCUGAUUUGUUUGGAUAAAUGCUAGUUUCAUUUCCAGCAAAAAUAGAGUUCUACCCUAUGAAGUGAGUAUGAAUUUUUUUUCCCCAUACCGACAUUUUAGUGAUACUGUAAAGUGUAUCAACGUUGCACUUUUAAAUGCAUUUUGGACAAGAAACUACAGGUGUUAAACUACAGAACAAUUUUUGAAGUUCAUUCUCUUGGCAAAGACUUUUUGCAUUUCCCAAUUUUGCAGCCAGCUGCUUUAAGUAAAAGAAAAAUAGUAGCUCAUACUUGUGAGUAAGAAAGGAAUCAGCAUCAAAGAUUAUGGGUACUUUUUUUCUAAUACAGUCUUGAUUAUUUUAUACUUUUUUUUUUUUCUCCUACCUUAACUGAAGUGCUGGGAGGCCUCACUAAGAUCAAACACUCAAAAUAAUGAAAGGCUGUUAUCUUCACCAAUUGUUAACUCUUGUUUAAGGUAAAUCUGUAGCUUUAAACAGGAAGGUGAUAUUGCUGCACAUUGCAUAAGAGAAUGUGAUAUUGUUAAGGGGCUUGACAAUUGCCUGAAGGGCUAACUGGGAAACAGCAGUCAUAGAAACAUUCCAACUUUUCUUCUGAAGUCCUCUUAAUCACUUCACUGGUCAAUGGCGCAUGAAUUAUCCUUGAGUGAGGUGACUGGGCAAAUAGGGGAGAUGAAGUGAUUAGUUUAGUUUCUGCAGUUCAAAACAGCUGAUUAUUUAGUACCAGUUCAUGAAAGUAUAUCUAAGGUGGAUUUAAUAUUAUUGUGAAAACAGCAUUGUUUACACUAAAAAAGAAAGCUUGAACUUGGGAAUUGUGA
rnacentral:lncRNA from 1 species